GUUGAACGCUGGCGGCAUGCCUAAUACAUGCAAGUCGAACGGUAACAGGAAGAGGCUUGCUUCUUUGCUUUCGAGUGGCGCGCGGGUGUGACAUGUCUGUGACACUGCUUGAUGGAUGGGGUUAAUUACUGGAAACGGUAGCUAAACCCGCAUAACUUCGCAACACCAAAGAGGGGUAGCUACAGGCCUUUUGCCAUCGGAUGUGCCCAGAUGGGAUUAGCUAGUAGGUGGGGUAACGGCUCACCUAGGACACGAUCACUAGCUGGUCUGAGAGGGUGACCAGCCACACUGGAACUGAGACACGGUCCAGACUCCUACGGGAGGCAGCAGUGGGGAAUCUUGCACAAUGGGCGAAAGCCUGAUGGAGCAAUGCCGCGUGUAUGAAGAAGGCCUUCGGGUUGUAAAAUACUGUUAGCGGGGAAGAAGAGAGUAGAGUUAAAACAUUCGCUCCUUGACGGUACCUACAGAAGAAGCACCGGCUAACUACGUG
rnacentral:rRNA from 1 species